UAUCCAGCCCACGCGCAGUCUCCCCGGA
rnacentral:sRNA from 1 species